rnacentral:rRNA from 1 species
UACGUAGGAGGCGAGCGUUGUCCGGAAUUACUGGGCGUAAAGAGCGCGUAGGCGGCGCAUUACGACAGGUGUGAAAGCCCCCGGCUCAACUGGGGAGGGUCACCUGUAACGAGUGUGCUCUGAGUGCAGGAGAGGGAUGUGGAACUCCGGGAGUAGCGGUGAAAUGCGUAGAGACCCGGAGGAACACCAGUGGCGAAGGCGGCAUCCUGGUCUGCGACUGACGCUGUGGCGCGAAAGCUAGGGGA